rnacentral:rRNA from 1 species
GAUGAACGCUGGCGGCGUGCCUAAUACAUGCAAGUCGAGCGAACAGACGAGGAGCUUGCUCCUCUGACGUUAGCGGCGGACGGGUGAGUAACACGUGGAUAACCUACCUAUAAGACUGGGAUAACUUCGGGAAACCGGAGCUAAUACCGGAUAAUAUAUUGAACCGCAUGGUUCAAUAGUGAAAGCCGGUUUUGCUGUCACUUAUAGAUGGAUCCGCGCCGCAUUAGCUAGUUGGUAAGGUAACGGCUUACCAAGGCAACGAUGCGUAGCCGACCUGAGAGGGUGAUCGGCCACACUGGAACUGAGACACGGUCCAGACUCCUACGGGAGGCAGCAGUAGGGAAUCUUCCGCAAUGGGCGAAAGCCUGACGGAGCAACGCCGCGUGAGUGAUGAAGGUCUUCGGAUCGUAAAACUCUGUUAUUAGGGAAGAACAAAUGUGUAAGUAACUAUGCACGUCUUGACGGUACCUAAUCAGAAAGCAACGGCUAACUACGUG